UUUUGUUUUAUUGUUUUAAAUAAAUGUAUGAUACAUUACCGACUUUUGUUAAGUUAUGACCGGUGAUGUUAAAAGAUUUUGUAAAAUGAAAAGGUAGCAUGCUAUUUGUUUCGUUCAUUUUUUAAAAAAUAAACUUAGCUAGAAAUAUGAAGCAACUAGCUAGGCGCGCUUCGAACUUGGGGCCUCGGAUAGCAACACCAAGUCUUUUGCCACUUACCUAAGGACGGUUGCCUAAUUAAAUUGAAGGUUUCAUAUGUUUUUUUUUUUUUUUUUUUUUUUUUUUUUUUUUUUUUGUGGGGAAUAAGGAGAUGUAAAAGAUGGAGAUUUUAUUUAGUUUGUAACAUAUGUUUUGUCCAUGUGGAUGUGUUAUGCGUUGUAUUACUUGGUUCCUUUGUAUUCUGAUGCUGUGUAUGUGUAUGGGAGACUCUAAUCGUAUAGACAGAGAAUUUUUUUGGCAAGUGGCGGGUU
rnacentral:lncRNA from 1 species